AAGCAGAAGACGGCAUACGAGAUCGGUCUCGGCAUUCCUGCUGAACCGCUCUUCCGAUCUAAGGUGAGUUGAGAAGCUUGCUGGAGGUAUCAGAAGUGCGAAUGCUGACAUAAGUAACGAUAAAGCGGGUGAAAAGCCCGCUCGCCGGAAGACCAAGGGUUCCUGUCCAACGUUAAUCGGGGCAGGGUGAGUCGACCCCUAAGGCGAGGCCGAAAGGCGUAGUCGAUGGGAAACGGGUUAAUAUUCCCGUACUCGGUGUUACUGCGAAGGGGGGACGGAGAAGGCUAUGUUGGCCGGGCGACGGUUGUCCCGGUUUAAGCGUGUAGGCUUGAGUUCCAGGCAAAUCCGGAACUCUUUAAGGCUGAGGCGUGAUGACGAGGCACUACGGUGCUGAAGUAACAAAUGCCCUGCUUCCAGGAAAAGCCUCUAAGCAUCAGGUAACAUCGAAUCGUACCCCAAACCGACACAGGUGAUCAGGUAGAGAAUACCAAGGCGCUUGAGAGAACUCGGGUGAAGGAACUAGGCAAAAUGGUGCCGUAACUUCGGGAGAAGGCACGCUGUCGUUAGGUGAAGUCACUUGCUGACGGAGCUGAAGGCAGUCGAAGAUACCAGCUGGCUGCAACUGUUUAUUAAAAACACAGCACUGUGCAAACACGAAAGUGGACGUAUACGGUGUGACGCCUGCCCGGUGCCGGAAGGUUAAUUGAUGGGGUUAUCCGCAAGGAGAAGCUCUUGAUCGAAGCCCCGGUAAACGGCGGCCGUAACUAUAACGGUCCUAAGGUAGCGAAAUUCCUUGUCGGGUAAGUUCCGACCUGCACGAAUGGCGUAAUGAUGGCCAGGCUGUCUCCACCCGAGACUCAGUGAAAUUGAACUCGCUGUGAAGAUGCAGUGUACCCGCGGCAAGACGGAAAGACCCCGUGAACCUUUACUACAGCUUGACACUGAACAUUGAGCCUUGAUGUGUAGGAUAGGUGGGAGGCUUUGAAGCGUGGACGCCAGUCUGCGUGGAGCCAACCUUGAAAUACCACCCUUUAACGUUUGAUGUUCUAACCUGGCGCCGUGAUCCGGCGUGGGGACAGUGUCUGGUGGGUAGUUUGACUGGGGCGGUCUCCUCCUAAAGAGUAACGGAGGAGCACGAAGGUUAGCUAAUCACGGUCGGACAUCGUGAGGUUAGUGCAAUGGCAUAAGCUAGCUUGACUGCGAGAGUGACGGCUCGAGCAGGUGCGAAAGCAGGUCAUAGUGAUCCGGUGGUUCUGAAUGGAAGGGCCAUCGCUCAACGGAUAAAAGGUACUCCGGGGAUAACAGGCUGAUACCGCCCAAGAGUUCAUAUCGACGGCGGUGUUUGGCACCUCGAUGUCGGCUCAUCACAUCCUGGGGCUGAAGUAGGUCCCAAGGGUACGGCUGUUCGCCGUUUAAAGUGGUACGCGAGCUGGGUUUAGAACGUCGUGAGACAGUUCGGUCCCUAUCUGCCGUGGGCGUUGGAGAAUUGAGGGGGGUUGCUCCUAGUACGAGAGGACCGGAGUGAACGCACCACUGGUGUUCGGGUUGUCAUGCCAAUGGCAUUGCCCGGUAGCUAAGUGCGGAAAAGAUAAGCGCUGAAAGCAUCUAAGCGCGAAACUUGCCUCGAGAUGAAUUCUCCCUGACUCCUUGAGAGUCCUGAAGGGACGUUGAAGACUACGACGUUGAUAGGCCGGGUGUGUAAGCGCAGCGAUGCGUUGAGCUAACCGGUACUAAUGACCCGUGAGGCUUAACCUU
rnacentral:rRNA from 1 species